rnacentral:rRNA from 1 species
AUGAACGCUAGCGACAGGCCUAACACGAUGCAAGUCGAGGGGCAGCACAAGGAGCAAUCUGAGGUGGCGACCGGCGCACGGGUGAGUAACACGUAUGCAACCUGCCUGUAAGCGGGGAAUAACCCGUUGAAAGACGGACUAAUACCGCAUAAUACUAAAUUACUGCAUGGUAAUUUAUUUAAACAUUUAUGGCUUACAGAUGGGCAUGCGCAUGAUUAGCUAGUUGGAGAGGUAACGGCUCCCCAAGGCAACGAUCAUUAGGGGUUCUGAGAGGAAGGUCCCCCACACUGGUACUGAGACACGGACCAGACUCCUACGGGAGGCAGCAGUGAGGAAUAUUGGUCAAUGGACGAGAGUCUGAACCAGCCAAGUCGCGUGCAGGAAGAAUGUUCCCUAUGGAUUGUAAACUGCUUUUGCAGGGGAAUAAAGUGCAUCACGUGUGAUGUUUUGUAUGUACUCUGCGAAUAAGGAUCGGCUAACUCCGUGCCAGCCGCCGC